AGCAGCCGCGGUAAUUCCAGCUCCAAUAGCGUAUAUUAAAGUUGUUGCAGUUAAAAAGCUCGUAGUUGAAUUUCGGGAUCAAUUUGCUGGUCGUGCCUUCGGUACGCACUGGUAUUAUUGGUUUCUCCUUUCUGAUGAAUCGCGAUGUCAUUAAUUUGGUGUCGUGGGGAAUCAGGACCGUUACUUUGAAAAAAUUAGAGUGUUUAAAGCAGGCUCACGCUUGAAUACAUUAGCAUGGAAUAAUGAAAUAGGACGUUUGAUUCUAUUUUGUUGGUUUCUAGGAUCGACGUAAUGAUUAAUAGGGAUAGUUGGGGGCAUUAGUAUUCAAUUGUCAGAGGUGAAAUUCUUGGAUUUAUUGAAGACUAACUACUGCGAAAGCAUUUGCCAAGGAUGUUUUCAUUAAUCAAGAACGAAAGUUAGGGGAUCGAAGACGAUCAGGUACCGUCGUAGUCUUAACCAUAAACUAUGCCGACUAGGGAUCGGAUGAUGUUAAUUUUUAAUGACUCAUUCGGCGCCUUAA
rnacentral:rRNA from 1 species